UUAUGAUGAUACCCAUGAGCUGGCACCAGUCCUAGAAAGAUUUGUUCUCUGUUUUAUGCGGAAUAGCUUAACCCGGGCUAGAAAAAAGCCCAUCUGAA
rnacentral:snoRNA from 1 species